rnacentral:rRNA from 1 species
GCGAAGAACCUUACCUACUCUUGACAUCUACAGAAGCCAGCGGAGACGCAGGUGUGCCUUCGGGAACUGUAAGACAGGUGCUGCAUGGCUGUCGUCAGCUCGUGUUGUGAAAUGUUGGGUUAAGUCCCGCAACGAGCGCAACCCUUAUCCUUGUUUGCCAGCACUUCGGGUGGGAACUCCAGGGAGACUGCCGGUGAUAAACCGGAGGAAGGUGGGGACGACGUCAAGUCAUCAUGGCCCUUACGAGUAGGGCUACACACGUGCUACAAUGGCGCAUACAGAGGGCGGCCAACUUGCGAAAGUGAGCGAAUCCCAAAAAGUGCGUCGUAGUCCGGAUUGGAGUCUGCAACUCGACUCCAUGAAGUCGGAAUC